AUUUCUUUCUUGUUCUCUUCGCACCGUACACCACAGAGUCAGUACAUAGCUGCGAGGUGGUAAUAAAAGUCACAGGUCAAAAAUAAAAUAGAAUUAUAGUAAAUUCUUUUAAACUUGAUGUUUUAAUGUUCCCUAAGGAUUUUGAAGAGCUACAAAUGCCAAGAUAAAUAUUAAAAUACCCGUAUGGCGGUACGAAUAAGUUUACAGUCUGAGAAAAACAAAAAGGAUCAAACUUUGGAAAACAGACUAUAGCAAUCAACUGUCGACAGGUUUUCCUGUUAUUUCCGAGACGAUCAACGUUAAUACGCACCUGACCAUACCACAAACCAGCUGUCUUUAAAAACCAUGAACAUUACCUACAAUGUUCCUCAACCG